rnacentral:rRNA from 1 species
UACGGAGGGUGCGAGCGUUAAUCGGAAUUACUGGGCGUAAAGCGCACGCAGGCGGUUUGUUAAGCUAGAUGUGAAAGCCCCGGGCUCAACCUGGGAUGGUCAUUUAGAACUGGCAGACUAGAGUCUUGGAGAGGGGAGUGGAAUUCCAGGUGUAGCGGUGAAAUGCGUAGAUAUCUGGAGGAACAUCAGUGGCGAAGGCGACUCCCUGGCCAAAGACUGACGCUCAUGUACGAAAGUGUGGGUAGCGAACAGG